ACCCAGCUGACGAGUCCCAAAUACGACGAAAUGCGCGUUAUCCUGGAU
rnacentral:hammerhead_ribozyme from 1 species